UACGUAGGUGGCGAGCGUUGUCCGGAUUUACUGGGCGUAAAGAGCGCGCAGGCGGUCGUUCAAGUCGCGUGUGAAAGCCCCCGGCUCAACUGGGGAGGGUCACGCGAUACUGAUCGACUCGAAGGCAGGAGAGGGAAGUGGAAUUCCCGGUGUAGUGGUGAAAUGCGUAGAUAUCUGGAGGAACACCGGUGGCGAAGGCGGCAUCCUGGACCGGCAUUGACGCUGAGGCGCGAAAGCUAGGGGAGCAAACGGG
rnacentral:rRNA from 1 species